rfam:Gossypium arboreum cultivar AKA8401 contig_14380_1, whole genome shotgun sequence.
AUUCCAUGAUAAGGGCACUUUCAUAAUAAUUCUUUGUACCUUUCCCAUGCCACAUACAAGGACUCGUCAUCCAUUAGUUGGAAAGCAAUAAUAUCGUUCCUCAACUU